rnacentral:lncRNA from 1 species
GGGGCACUGGGAGGAUGCUGGCGCCACCCGGCCCUGCAGCCCCGCGGGUCCCUGCCUGGAGCCACUUGUGGGCAGCUGUGACGAGGAGUAAAAGACAAAAAUGAUCCUGGAUGGUGUGCAGGGGCUCGAGUGGCGAUGUGAAGGUGCAGGAGUAUUAAAUGGGACUGUGAUGGCAUUAAAGGCAGGAACCUUCCCCGUGCGCUCACCAUGUUCCCGCCCUCGAUGAAAUGUUUGUCACCCAUUACCCUCAUUGAUCCUCGCGCAAUUUGCCAGGGACCCUGGCAACGAAAUACUCACUCAGACUCACUGUUCUUUCUGGUGGAGAUGUCUCCUGUUUGACCUGCAUCUAAACGGUGGAUCCUGUCAGGAGGAAGCGCGUGGAUCUGUGAGGGUUCCUGCUCUUCUGUCUUAGACCAUCUGCUCUGGGUGAAGAGAGCAGAGUCUGCAUUCCCUCCAGGGUCCCCCUUGGAGACGCAGAGGCAGAGAAGGACGUCUCCUCUGGGCUGGUCCUUCGGGAGAACGGGGAGGAACUGCGUCCCUGGAAAGUUUCCUGCUUCCACCUUCGCCCAGCCUGCCCUUGAGGUGGGAGAGGCGGGCGCUGUUGCAGCUUCC